rnacentral:rRNA from 1 species
GGAUGGAGCGUCAGAGAGGGUGAGAAUCCCGUACUGGACAUGGACUACCAGGGCAUUUGUGGUAUGCUCUCAAAGAGUUGAGUUGUUUGGGAAUGCAGCUCUAAAUGGGUGGUAAAUUCCAUCUAAAGCUAAAUAUUGGCGAGAGACCGAUAGCGAACAAGUACCGUGAGGGAAAGAUGAAAAGAACUUUGGAAAGAGAGUUAAACAGUAUGUGAAAUUGUUGAAAGGGAAACGCUUGAAGUCAGUGAUGUUGGUCAGGGAUCAAGCCAGCAAUUUUGCUGGGUGUAGUUCAUGGCUAAUGGGUCAACAUGAGUUUUAACUGGUGGAGAAAGGUAGAGAGAAUGUGGCACCUUUGGGUGUGUUAUAGCUCUUUGUCAUAUACAUCAGAUAAGACUGAGGAAAGCAGCGCGCCGCAAGGCAGGGUUUGGACCACAUUUCGCGCUUAGGAUGUUGGCAAUAAUGGCUUUAAGCGACCCGUCUUGAAACACGGACCAAGGAGUCUAACAUGCAUGCAAGUGUUUGAGUGGAAAACUCAAGCGCGCAAUGAAAGUGAAAGUUGAGAUCUUUUUGAGAGCAUCGACGCCCGGACCAGAACUUUUGGGACGGAUCUGCGGUAGAGCAUGUAUGUUGGGACCCGAAAGAUGGUGAACUAUGCCUGAAUAGGGCGAAGCCAGAGGAAACUCU